CACACCACGUUUAUAAUCGAACAUACUUCACAUCAGGUUUACAGCCACCAAGAACACAACUAAAUUGAGUGUUUCAACUAAAUAUCUAUAAAAGUAUAACUAGCUCCAAUGAGCUAGAACUAAAUGCUUCUUCACUUUUUCAUCCUAGAGCUUGCGAUGAAACAUGAACGAACGCCAGCAUCUACAUGUUAUAGAACAAAAAAAUGGUUAGGGACAAAAUAAAAGCAAUCAAUGAAACAAAACAGGACUGCACCAUAUCACAGGAAGUUCCAUAUGAGCUAGAAUAUGGCCAACUGCACUCACUGCUCAUACAUGGAUAUAUGCCUACUAAUAUUAACAUACUGAUCUAAUACAGAGCAUAGGCAUCAUGCAUACCCUAAGCAUAUACAAACAGAUGGUAUUCAAGAUGAUGUGCUGCAUAUGCAAAAUAAAUCAAGAAACUACAACAGGAAACAGGAAACAGAGCCUCAAAGUGUUCACUUGUCAUGUUUUGUCCGCCAUUUUGAGAUCGACACGCACCAAGCAAACAAACAUGAUUGCUUUAUUCCUUUUGGAUUAAAACAGGAAUAUGGUGUUCCACCUUAUACUACAACAUCAUCAGGAUUAAAACAACACAUUUAUAGUCAGAGUGCUGGAUGAGACAAAUAUCAAUUGAAACCAACUAGAACAGGUGAGCCAGGGAUAAGUAGCAGCAGGAAAAUAAUGGUACAUUCACAACUUAAGUUUAGGAAAAUAUCACCACAUGUAUCAGUAUACAUGCAACAAUAGUAUCAUUGAGUACAGCAAAACAGCAGGUUGACCCAUAUAAGUCACAGCUCUAAAGAAAGAAAGAAAGAAAGAACAAGUUUAGCUAGCUAUGUAUUCAUAGUUGAGAGCUAAGCAAUUUGUUUGUUUAUGCUGUAACUGACAGACCUAGUACAAGAAACAAGCAAAGUGAAACAGUAUUGACCAAUUCGAUGGCAAUACAAGCUAAGCAACUUAGCUAGUAGGUGACCAUCCAAUCCAUGAUGCAGCAGCAGGCGCAAAUAUGAUAUGAUGUGAAGAAGAAGCUAGCUGGCGAGGUUGAGGAUGAAACCAAAAUUACAAACCAUUGUUGGACCUCACAUCACCACUGUUUUAUCAUUUUAUAAACAACCGGAAACUAUGCGGAGAGCAGACUGGACAGUAAAAGAAUUAUCAAGCAGAGCAAAACAACAGCGUGGCCGUCAACUCAUAGCCCUGAAGAAAGAAAGAACCAAUAGGGUCAGCUACUUAUUUAUUCAGAAUUGAGAGUUGAGCAAUCAUCAGAAAACUAAAGAUACUGCUUAGCUAACUAAAUAACACAUCAUUCAGUCACAAGGUAUAAUUCUGACUAUAAUAUAAGCAAAGAACUAAAGACACUACGUACUUAGAACUCAAUUAAAAGUGAGAAUGAUUUAUGCAAACAAUCUGAUUUUAUUUGUUUACAUUAGUAAAAACAAGUCUAUCAGGUAAGAUCAAGAACACUAAUACUAACACAGACAUAUCUUCCUUUAUGUGAACAAGUGUGCUUCCUUCAUUAAUUAGUAGUAAUUGUUCCAUGCUAAUACAAGCACACGCCCUGGCCUAUCGAAGUCUGAAUCUAAUUAAAUCGCACCAUGGACGUGUCAUAUCACCAAGGCAAGUACUAGUAAAUCUUUGCACCGUUUUUCAGAUAGAUAAAAAUGUAGUUGUACUCAUCCUAACUAGCGUUGUGUAGCAGCGCUAGAAGAAAGGCGGUUUUCAGUAUACUACAUGGCAUGUCAAAAAAAUUCCAAAUUUCUAUUCUGUUAUUUCCAAGUACCAAACACAAGCUACAGAACGAAUC
rnacentral:lncRNA from 1 species